UAGGGAAUCUUCGGCAAUGGGGGCAACCCUGACCGAGCAACGCCGCGUGAGUGAAGAAGGUUUUCGGAUCGUAAAGCUCUGUUGUAAGUCAAGAACGAGUGUGAGAGUGGAAAGUUCACACUGUGACGGUNGCUUACCANAAAGGGACGGCUAACUACNUGCCAGCAGCCGCGGUAAUACGUAGGUCCCGAGCGUUGUCCGGAUUUAUUGGGCGUAAAGCGAGCGCAGGCGGUUUGAUAAGUCUGAAGUUAAAGGCUGUGGCUCAACCAUANUUCGCUUUGGAAACUGUCAAACUUGAGUGCAGAAGGGGAGAGUGGAAUUCCAUGUGUAGCGGUGAAAUGCGUAGAUAUAUGGAGGAACACCGGUGGCGAAAGCGGCUCUCUGGUCUGUAACUGACGCUGAGGCUCGAAAGCGUGGGGAGCGAACAGGAUUANAUACCCUGGUAAUCCACGCCGUAAACGAUGUCGAUUUGGAGGUUGUGCCCUUGAGGCGUGGCUUCCGGAGCUAACGCGUUAAAUCGACCGCCUGGGGAGUACGGCCGCAAGGUUA
rnacentral:rRNA from 1 species